rnacentral:lncRNA from 1 species
AUGCAGUCGUGCCGGCCACAUGACCUUGGAGGUGUCUACGGACAACGCCGGCUCUUCGGCUUAGAAAUGGAGAUGAGCACCAACCCCCAGAGUCAUAUGGCCGGCAUGACUGCAUGGAGCGCUGUUACCUUCCCACCCGAGCAGUACCUAUUGAUCUACUCACAUUUGCAUGUUUUCAAACUGCUAGGUUGGCAAAAGCUAGAGCUAACAGUGGGCGCUCACUCCGCUCCCGGGAUUUGAACCUGUGACCUUUCGGUCUGCAAGUUCAGCAGCUCAGCGCUUUAACAUACUUCGCCACUGGGGCUCCAUCAUCCAUCCUUAGGAAACUACAAUUCCUACAGAAGUCGAGCUAUGUCUUCUUUUUAUUAGUAGUGGGCUUGGGGGUCCUUGAUAACAGAUUCUCCAUAAAAACAGAGUGAAUAAAGGCUGGCAAUUUCAGACAACAAAACUUGGUUUGUCCAGUUCUUGACAAUGAGCUCAAAGCGCUUAUUUAAUAACUUACAGCAAAACAGCUUUUCUUUGUGUUUCAUUUCUUGGGUGGUGGAUUUGAACUUUGCCAUGUUAUUUCUCAUACAUUCGUUUUAGUGCCAUAGCCUACAAAAUCAUUACUCACUCUCACACACACUUUCAGUUACUGAAAAAUAUAAAGGAAGACUGCAACAGCAGCAGAAAAGUAAACUGUAGAUGUGUGUGCGUAUCUUGGGGCACAAUCUGUUCCAUUGUAUUUCAUUGAUGUGGUGGAGAUUUUUCAUUAACAGAACAUCCUUUUGCUCUGAGCAGGAAUGUUACAACAUAAAAGCUUGGCUAUUAACACAAAAAUUGGUCCUUCGGCUUUCUUUUUUAAAUGCUUAGAAGGCAGCAGAAGUUUUACAGUUGGAAAAUAUCUAUUGUUACAUGUACAAAUCCCUUCUGAUUUCACUCCAAGCAAAUCCUUUUUCCUGCCACAGCCUAGAUAAUUCUCUUCUAAGGUGAGGAUAUUUACCAGAAACAUUAAAAUUAAAUUUGCAAUGCUCUCAGGUGAGUCUUUGGUUCCUACUGAAUUCAUUACCA